rnacentral:lncRNA from 1 species
AAGGUGAUGAUUCAAUUGAUGAUAUAUUAAAAAUUUUUUUCUAAUUAUCACCCUGCUUUGGUCAAAGAUUUCCAGAAUCAUCAUCCUAUGAGAUAACAUAGGAUGUUCGCUCCCCUUAUUAGAAGUGAUUGAUCUCUUAUUGAUCACUCACAAUCUUCAUGCACACUUCAUCAUAUCUAGAACACCCCACAUAAGGAUCAGAG